UUAUGGAGAGUUUGAUCCUGGCUCAGGACGAACGCUGGCGGCGUGCCUAAUACAUGCAAGUCGAGCGGAUCGAUGGGAGCUUGCUCCCUGAGAUCAGCGGCGGACGGGUGAGUAACACGUGGGUAACCUGCCUGUAAGACUGGGAUAACUCCGGGAAACCGGGGCUAAUACCGGAUAACACCUACCCCCGCAUGGGGGAAGGUUGAAAGGUGGCUUCGGCUAUCACUUACAGAUGGACCCGCGGCGCAUUAGCUAGUUGGUGAGGUAACGGCUCACCAAGGCGACGAUGCGUAGCCGACCUGAGAGGGUGAUCGGCCACACUGGGACUGAGACACGGCCCAGACUCCUACGGGAGGCAGCAGUAGGGAAUCUUCCGCAAUGGACGAAAGUCUGACGGAGC
rnacentral:rRNA from 1 species